rnacentral:rRNA from 1 species
GGCGAGUGAAGCGGUAACAGCUCAAAUUUGAAAUCUGGCCUCACGGUCCGAGUUGUAAUUUGUAGAGGAUGCUUCGAGCAUGGUCUGGCCUAAGUUCCUUGGAACAGGACGUCAUAGAGGGUGAGAAUCCCGUAUGCGGCCAGGUGCCUACGCUCAUGUGAAGCUCCUUCGACGAGUCGAGUUGUUUGGGAAUGCAGCUCAAAAUGGGUGGUAAAUUUCAUCUAAAGCUAAAUAUUGGCCAGAGACCGAUAGCGCACAAGUAGAGUGAUCGAAAGAUGAAAAGCACUUUGGAAAGAGAGUUAAACAGUACGUGAAAUUGUUGAAAGGGAAGCGCUUGCAACCAGACUUGCGCGCGGCCGAUCAUCCGGUGUUCUCACCGGUGCACUCGGCCGUGCUCAGGCCAGCAUCGGUUUUGGCGGCUGGAUAAAGGCCCUAGGAAUGUAGCUCCUCUCGGGGAGUGUUAUAGCCUAGGGUGCAAUGCAGCCUGCUGGGACCGAGGACCGCGCUUCGGCUAGGAUGCUGGCGUAAUGGUUGUAAGCGGCCCGUCUUGAAACACGGACCAAGGAGUCUAACAUCUAUGCGAGUGUUUGGGUGUCAAACCCAUACGCGUAAUGAAAGUGAACGGAGGUGAGAACCCUUAAGGGUGCAUCAUCGACCGGUCCUGAAGUUUACGGAAGGAUCUGAGUAAGAGCAUAGCUGUUGGGACCCGAAAGAUGGUGAACUAUGCCUGAAUAGGGUGAAGCCAGAGGAAACUCUGGUGGAGGCUCGCAGCGGUUCUGACGUGCAAAUCGAUCGUCAAAUUUGGGUA